UGCUUUUUUUUUUUAAAGGAGGGUCCAGAGGCUUCUUUUUGCGGGGAAGAGGAGCUGCGAGGACGGGCUGAUAGCGGGAGCUUGGCGGCGAGAGAGGAGAAGCCCCCUGAAACGCACGCCACCUAUCUUCACGGGAGGGGAUAAUUGAGGAGAGCCAAACGUGAGCAUCUUUCUGGGCUCAAGUUUCCCCCCCUCUCUCUCUCUCUCUACCCUCCCUCCCUCUCUCUCUUCUUCUUCGUCUUCUUUUUUUCCCUUUUUUCUUCUUCUUAUUUUUUUGGAGCGUGAAACCAACUAUGUCGGGCUUCGACACGGAGUAAGAACCAGGCGACAGAUGAUGUCGUAGGAGGAAGACAAGGAACCUGAGCAUGACGAGGACCAGCGAAGCUGCUUCGCCCCCCGUUGCUGUUGCUGCUCGGGGUCCAGAGUGGUUCUGGUUCCGGGUGAAUUGUUGUCACGUGUAAUUUGCUACCACGGUGUAAACCAAGCAGUCACGCCAUAAUCCCCCCACCCCACCCCCUUUUUCCUCCUCUUUCACUCUCUCUCUUACACACACACACACACACUUGAACCGCAGCUCCAACUCUGCCCCCACUGAGUGGCACCUCUCCCACACCCCCACCCCUCCAUCGUCCGUGGGGCCACCACAUAUUCACCGUGAAAACGGAUUACAGUCGGUGUGUGACCUAUAGGGGGACCUUGUGCUUAAUGAAUAUAUUGGUUUCAAUGAAGGGAGGGGAGGGGAAGGGGGGGGGGGGGGUACCCGAAACAACACAUGCAUGAUUCAUCAUUUUGUGUGUGUGCGCAUUACCUGCAGAAUAAAAAGUGUGAGAUAACUGUGCAGGUUUGAAGUGAAAAUGAUCAAAACGUGUGUUUUUUAUGGCUUUUUUUCUUUUCUGGAAAUAAAAACAAGAACAUUUCGCAGCA